rnacentral:tRNA from 1 species
ACCUCGGUAGUGUAAUGGAUCAGCACGGCGACCUGGAUUUCUGUGAGUGCGGGUUCGAGUCCUGCCUGAAGUU